rnacentral:rRNA from 1 species
GGGUUGUGAGGUUAAGCGACUAAGCGUACACGGUGGAUGCCCUGGCAGUCAGAGGCGAUGAAGGGCGUGCUAAUCUGCGAUAAGCGCCGGUAAGGUGAUAUGAACCGUUAUAACCGGCGAUACCCGAAUGGGGAAACCCAGUGUGAUUCGUCACACUAUCAUUAACUGAAUCCAUAGGUUAAUGAGGCGAACCGGGGGAACUGAAACAUCUAAGUACCCCGAGGAAAAGAAAUCAACCGAGAUUCCCCCAGUAGCGGCGAGCGAACGGGGAGGAGCCCAGAGCCUGAAUCAGCAUGUGUGUUAGUGGAAGCGUCUGGAAAGGCGCGCGAUACAGGGUGACAGCCCCGUACACAAAAGCGCAUGUGCUGUGAGCUCGAUGAGUAGGGCGGGACACGUGGUAUCCUGUCUGAAUAUGGGGGGACCAUCCUCCAAGGCUAAAUACUCCUGACUGACCGAUAGUGAACCAGUACCGUGAGGGAAAGGCGAAAAGAACCCCGGCGAGGGGAGUGAAAAAGAACCUGAAACCGUGUACGUACAAGCAGUGGAGCACAGGUUUACCUGUGUGACUGCGUACCUUUUGUAUAAUGGGUCAGCGACUUAUAUUCUGUAGCAAGGUUAACCGUAUAGGGGAGCCGUAGGGAAACCGAGUCUUAACCGGGCGUUAAGUUGCAGGGUAUAGACCCGAAACCCGGUGAUCUAGCCAUGGGCAGGUUGAAGGUUGGGUAACACUAACUGGAGGACCGAACCGACUAAUGUUGAAAAAUUAGCGGAUGACCUGUGGCUGGGGGUGAAAGGCCAAUCAAACCGGGAGAUAGCUGGUUCUCCCCGAAAGCUAUUUAGGUAGCGCCUCGUGAAUUCAUCUCCGGGGGUAGAGCACUGUUUCGGCUAGGGGGCCAUCCCGGCUUACCAACCCGAUGCAAACUGCGAAUACCGGAGAAUGUUAUCACGGGAGACACACGGCGGGUGCUAACGUCCGUCGUGAAGAGGGAAACAACCCAGACCGCCAGCUAAGGUCCCAAAGUCAUGGUUAAGUGGGAAACGAUGUGGGAAGGCCCAGACAGCCAGGAUGUUGGCUUAGAAGCAGCCAUCAUUUAAAGAAAGCGUAAUAGCUCACUGGUCGAGUCGGCCUGCGCGGAAGAUGUAACGGGGCUAAACCAUGCACCGAAGCUGCGGCAGCGACACUGUGUGUUGUUGGGUAGGGGAGCGUUCUGUAAGCCUGUGAAGGUGUGUCGUGAGGCAUGCUGGAGGUAUCAGAAGUGCGAAUGCUGACAUAAGUAACGAUAAAGCGGGUGAAAAGCCCGCUCGCCGGAAGACCAAGGGUUCCUGUCCAACGUUAAUCGGGGCAGGGUGAGUCGACCCCUAAGGCGAGGCCGAAAGGCGUAGUCGAUGGGAAACAGGUUAAUAUUCCUGUACUUGGUGUUACUGCGAAGGGGGACGGAGAAGGCUAUGUUGGCCGGGCGACGGUUGUCCCGGUUUAAGCGUGUAGGUGUGUGUUCCAGGUAAAUCCGGUUCACUUUAACACUGAGGCGUGAUGACGAGGCACUACGGUGCUGAAGCAACAAAUGCCCUGCUUCCAGGAAAAGCCUCUAAGCAUCAGGUAACAUCAAAUCGUACCCCAAACCGACACAGGUGGUCAGGUAGAGAAUACCAAGGCGCUUGAGAGAACUCGGGUGAAGGAACUAGGCAAAAUGGUGCCGUAACUUCGGGAGAAGGCACGCUGACACGUAGGUGAAGUGAUUUACUCAUGGAGCUGAAGUCAGUCGAAGAUACCAGCUGGCUGCAACUGUUUAUUAAAAACACAGCACUGUGCAAACACGAAAGUGGACGUAUACGGUGUGACGCCUGCCCGGUGCCGGAAGGUUAAUUGAUGGGGUCAGCGCAAGCGAAGCUCCUGAUCGAAGCCCCGGUAAACGGCGGCCGUAACUAUAACGGUCCUAAGGUAGCGAAAUUCCUUGUCGGGUAAGUUCCGACCUGCACGAAUGGCGUAAUGAUGGCCAGGCUGUCUCCACCCGAGACUCAGUGAAAUUGAACUCGCUGUGAAGAUGCAGUGUACCCGCGGCAAGACGGAAAGACCCCGUGAACCUUUACUAUAGCUUGACACUGAACAUUGAGCCUUGAUGUGUAGGAUAGGUGGGAGGCUUUGAAGCGUGGACGCCAGUCUGCGUGGAGCCGACCUUGAAAUACCACCCUUUAAUGUUUGAUGUUCUAACGUGGACCCGUAAUCCGGGUUGCGGACAGUGUCUGGUGGGUAGUUUGACUGGGGCGGUCUCCUCCUAAAGAGUAACGGAGGAGCACGAAGGUUGGCUAAUCCUGGUCGGACAUCAGGAGGUUAGUGCAAUGGCAUAAGCCAGCUUGACUGCGAGCGUGACGGCGCGAGCAGGUGCGAAAGCAGGUCAUAGUGAUCCGGUGGUUCUGAAUGGAAGGGCCAUCGCUCAACGGAUAAAAGGUACUCCGGGGAUAACAGGCUGAUACCGCCCAAGAGUUCAUAUCGACGGCGGUGUUUGGCACCUCGAUGUCGGCUCAUCACAUCCUGGGGCUGAAGUAGGUCCCAAGGGUAUGGCUGUUCGCCAUUUAAAGUGGUACGCGAGCUGGGUUUAGAACGUCGUGAGACAGUUCGGUCCCUAUCUGCCGUGGGCGCUGGAGAACUGAGGGGGGCUGCUCCUAGUACGAGAGGACCGGAGUGGACGCAUCACUGGUGUUCGGGUUGUCAUGCCAAUGGCACUGCCCGGUAGCUAAAUGCGGAAGAGAUAAGUGCUGAAAGCAUCUAAGCACGAAACUUGCCCCGAGAUGAGUUCUCCCUGAGACUUAGAGUCUCCUGAAGGAACGUUGAAGACGACGACGUUGAUAGGCCGGGUGUGUAAGCGCAGCGAUGCGUUGAGCUAACCGGUACUAAUGAACCGUGAGGCUUAACCUUACAACGCCGAAG